rnacentral:rRNA from 1 species
AUUGAACGCUGGCGGCAUGCCUUACACAUGCAAGUCGAACGGUAACAGGUUAAGCUGACGAGUGGCGAACGGGUGAGUAAUGUAUCGGAACGUGCCCAGUCGUGGGGGAUAACUGCUCGAAAGAGCAGCUAAUACCGCAUACGACCUGAGGGUGAAAGCGGGGGAUCGCAAGACCUCGCGCGAUUGGAGCGGCCGAUAUCAGAUUAGGUAGUUGGUGAGGUAAAGGCUCACCAAGCCGACGAUCUGUAGCUGGUCUGAGAGGACGACCAGCCACACUGGGACUGAGACACGGCCCAGACUCCUACGGGAGGCAGCAGUGGGGAAUUUUGGACAAUGGGCGCAAGCCUGAUCCAGCCAUGCCGCGUGCGGGAAGAAGGCCUUCGGGUUGUAAACCGCUUUUGUCAGGGAAGAAAAGGUUCUGGCUAAUACCUGGGACUCAGGACGGUACCUGAAGAAUAAGCACCGGCUAACUACGU